UCUUUGACAAGAUUAUGACCAAAGGGAGAC
rnacentral:piRNA from 1 species